GGGAGUUGAACCCUUAGUUAUUUUAAUAAAUAACAAAUACCUAGCAUGUAUUCUGUCUUACCGAUAACGAUUUUUCC
rnacentral:tRNA from 1 species